rnacentral:lncRNA from 1 species
AUAAUUUAUACCUCAUUAUUGCAAAGAGGGCACAUUAGAUUAUCAGUAAUUCUCCAGUUAGCAGGAGUGUCCCUUGUGAGUAGUCUUCUCUGAGCUACCAGGGUCAGAAUACACAGCCACCUUGGAGCACCAAAGUUGUUGCAAACUACUUUCCUGAGACUCGUUGGAACCCCCCUCUCAUUGCCUGAUACAAUUUCUUGAUUGAGAAGGUCUUCCAACCUAUCACCUCUAUCAUAGUCACCCUUGCAUCUUCGAUGUAUAGUCUUGCUUUGAUAAUUUUCUUAACCAUCCAAGAUGCCUGUCUUGGUGUAAUAUCUAAACUUGUUCUUUUCUUCCCCAUAGUAUUCGUGUACCCGUUCC